UCAUCUCUGUCUGUGAAUCAGUCCUCCGUUCUCUCAGCUCCACGACAGACUGUUUUAGUUUGAGGUCUUCGGGGCAAGAAAAACAAAGAGUUCUGGAUGUGUUUGGUUAGCAGUGCCACUGACAGUGGCUCUUUGGAGCCCUCCGAGGGAACAGUCCUGACAAUGCCUCUGGACCUAACCCAUAAAUUGCGUGUGAAGAGGAGAGGAGGAGGGGAGGAGAGGUAGGGGAGACCUGCGUCUCCAGGAGAAGCAGAAGAAAACUGCAGUGCGCUGAGGCAUCUGGAGAGGGUUCUCUCAGCUGCCUUCAUCUUUUUGAAAGGGACUUUCCUCACGAGAAACCCCUCCCCCUCCUAAAAGGGUGACGUGAUUCGCAAGAAGAAUUACUGCAGCUGCCAGAAGCUAUCCCUCCUGAAUGCAACCCCAGCAGUGUGGCAGUUCAAUGGUGUCUCAAGAAGGGAAGACAAGGAAAUCUCAUUCACAGCUGGAAUCUAGUACCAGGUAGCUCAGAAUUACUGCUGAAUUUGGGUAUAUUGCACAACUGUAUUAGACACUUUGUAUUUCCCUUCGGUCUCAUAGGUUGUAUUAGUAAAUACUGAAAUUCUUCAAAGGAAAAUUGUCAGCUGUCGAUUCUAUAUUCAAAGGUGAACUUUCAAAUUUCAAUUAUAUUUUCAAGAAAGGGUAAUAGUGCCUGUUUUUACUCAGAAAGCUUACAAAUGUUAUCUUUUUUAAGUUGCUAAUUCAUUGUUGGACAUGUUUUAUCAGUCUUUUAUUAUAUCUGCUUUAACUUUUCCCCUAAUCUUCUGGUUUGGGAACCUGAAUCUGUGGGGUAAUAAACAGGAUUCCUGUCUAACUAUGUCAGAAAGUCAUUGGUGCUGAUUUUUCAACCCUCCCCCACGUCUAUCAGUUACAAGUCUUGCGUAAAGUAUAUUCCAUCCUAGAUGACCUUUCACACCCCUUGUUUAAUUAGUUCCAACUACUCCCCUCAGAGCACAGAUACAGAUUUCCCAGUUUAAAAUCAAACAGGUUCAAGUUCUCUUUUAUACUUGUGGCCGUAACCGUGCUUAACAGUUGAUUCUCUUGGUCAUGUCUGUAUGUAUUUCUUGUUUGCAUGUUUUUCUUUGUAUUGUCUGCUGCUGUAAAACAAAUUGCCCCUCAGGGAUAAUAAAGACACGGUCUCUCUCUCGCACACACUUUGAGAAAUCCCAGUGGA